UGCCAGCCGCCGCGGUAAUACGGGGGGAGCAAGCGUUGUCCGGAAUUACUGGGCGUAAAGGGCGUGUAGGCGGUUUAAUAAGUCAGAUGUAAAAGCCCCCGGCUCAACCGGGGAUGGUCAUUUGAAACUGUUAGGCUUGAGUGCGAGAGAGGGUAGUGGAAUUCCCAGUGUAGCGGUGAAAUGCGUAGAUAUUGGGAAGAACACCAGUAGCGAAGGCGGCUACCUGGCUCGCAACUGACGCUAAGGCGCGAAAGCGUGGGGAGCAAACAGGAUUAGAUA
rnacentral:rRNA from 1 species